UGAUUAUUCAUCAAAAAGCAAUAUCAGAAUCUUGUGUUCUCCUUUCAGAGCACACAAACUCAAGACCGACCAGCAUUAACAACCAUUCAGGCACCCAGACAUCCAGCAGCCUCUGCAAUAUCUGGACCGUCUUUAGCUGAGAGGUCCCCAUUGCCCCUUAUUAACCUGACCGCUGUCUCCAACUCUCUAAGAAGGUAGGAAUAAUAAAGUUCAUACAUAUAGUAAACAUGUUUCAUAUAACAUUUAUAAAGGUUUGUUUAUGUUUUAUUUCUCAAGAGCAAAACAAAAGUUUUCUGCCAUAGAAACACAGAUGGAGGUGACGUCAGCCUUUCCUGUCCUCUCUCUCACCCCGCCACAAGAACUCUUCUCUCAGACACACUGGCCUGCUUUGAAUGAGGAGAGAAAGACUCUCACUCAAUCCGACACACUCGUGAGCAAAGCUGCGUGCGGCAUGAUGGAAGGAAUCGAGUCGCAUCAGGGGCCCACCACCACUGCAGAAGAGACAUGUGAAAGAGAUGCAUCAUCUGGGACAGAGAGGGAAUACAGCUCAGCUGCGGAGCAGAUAAUUGAAUUGCCCCUGAAAAAUGAGAAGAAAUGGGUGGUGCAUCAUGAAGGUCAUGAUGAUGAUGAAGAAGAGGAAUGUAACUUGGCAGAGGCGCAACAGUGGCAGGAUGAGCUAAUGGAGCUGAUGCACAAGACAGCAGAGGAGAGAGAUGCGUGCCGUCAGGAGCUGGAGGUGCUUCGAGAGCACAGCGCCGCCCUGGAGGACGAAAGGAACCGGCUCAUCAGCAGGCUGGAGAGUGCAGGAGAGGAGAAGAGCAAGCUUUCUGCCCUGUGUGAUCAGCUGAGGAGUCAACUGGCAGAGCUCAGGGAACAGAGCCAGAGAGGAAUGGAAGAGAAAGACGACAGCUCCAAACUGAGGACGCUGCGUCUAAACCUGAGCCGUCUGCUGGUGUCUUUCAUUCCCUCACUUCAUCUUGAG
rnacentral:lncRNA from 1 species